GACAGAGGGUGCAAACGUUGCUCGGAAUCACUGGGCGUAAAGGGCGUGUAGGCGGGAAGGAAAGUCGGGCGUGAAAUCCCUGGGCUCAACCCCAGGAACUGCACUCGAAACUUCUUUUCUUGAGUGCCGGAGAGGAAAGCGGAAUACCUGGUGUAGAGGUGAAAAUUCGUAGAUAUCAGGUGGAACACCCGUGGCGAAGGCGGCUCUCUGGGACGGUACUGACGCUGAGACGCGAAAGCGUGGGGAGCGAACAGG
rnacentral:rRNA from 1 species